rnacentral:lncRNA from 1 species
AGGCAAAACACCAUUCCAAGAUGCUGAAAGUUUUGAGCGAAUAAAAGCUUUCAGGUUUGAGCUAAAAGCAAUAAUUUUGGAACAGACACCUUAAGGAAUAUGAACCUCUCCUGACAAGGGGCUGUGACAUAAGGUGCUCUUAUGAUGCCAUGCUACACUGUCUCAGCAACAAUCUGUCACAGGCUGCAUUCAUGAGCCAACCACAGCUGACAGUGGCUGAGGAACAGAAAUGAAACAACUACCUACCUCUUCAAAUUAGGCACUACAGAGUUUACCUCUUCAUCCUUCACUACUACAGCAUUCCCUCAUCUCACUUGCACAUUAGAAGCCUGUGUUUGAAAUGCUUACUCCUUUUCCAUGCAGGAGCUUUAAUACCACAGGAGAACAUGUGCGUUCAGUAUGCCUUCUGUUCUGCCAGGGCCGUUCACCAGGACAUGCUGAGGACACUUUAAAUUUAGGAACAGGGAACUUCUGCAGUCAGACCAAGACAGAUUACUCAUGACAUCAGCCCCUCCCUCUCACUCCCAUCUCCCUCCUCCUUUUUCCUACUGGUGGAGAUGCAUUUUCACAACAUGCAGACCUUCCUGUCCAAUAAACCUCUUCUUCUAUCAAGAUGAGAACCUUAAAAGGAUGGUAUUUUUGGAGAAUGCUAACUCACACUACAUACUCCUCAUGAACUGGCACUGUGCAAGACCACUGAAGCUUCUGCAUAAACCCACGCAACAGCUUUCUAAAGCAUCCACAGUGAAUCUGGUAGGUCUGGAGUCCCAAGAGCUUCUACUCAACGAAACAUGACUAUCUCCAAUUUCCUUCUCAGCAUCUGUAAUUGUCCUAAGUCAGAACCCUGGGAGCCAAAAAAAAAAAAAAAGAAAAAACACAACAAAACAACACAGACCAAUCGGAGCUAUACAAAAACUGUGGUGUAUGAAGGAAGAAAAGAGGGGGCCAUGCAAUGAUGGGAGUAAAGGAUCAAGGGAGAGAAGGCAAGAGAUUUAUUCAGCAUUUCCUUGUCUGUCUCCUCCACAAACUGAAUCACAGAAGCAUGAAAGUAGAUGUAUUGAAUCUCAAAGGAAAUAAAAGAAGUGGAAAAUUAACUACUG